rnacentral:rRNA from 1 species
UAACGAAUAUUCCGCAAUGCGCGAAAGCGUGACGGAGCAAUGCCGCGUGCAGGAUGAAGCGGUUUCGCCGUGUAAACUGCUGUCAGGAGUUACUAACACUGAAGAACUCCAGAGGAAGGACCGGCUAAUCUCGUGCCAGCAGCCGCGGUAAUACGAGAGGUCCAAGCGUUAGUCGGAAUCACUGGGCUUAAAGGGUGCGUAGGCGGGCCAGUAAGUGUCUCGUGAAAUCCCAUGGCUCAACCAUGGAACCGCGGGGCAUACUGCUGGUCUUGAGGAAGCUAGAGGCUGGUGGAACGAUAGGUGGAGCGGUGGAAUGCGUAGAUAUCUAUCGGAACGCCGAAGGUGAAGACAGCCAGCUGGGGCUUUCCUGACGCUCAGGCACGAAAGCGUGGGGAUCAAACAGGAUUAGAUACCCGCGUAGUCC